rnacentral:lncRNA from 1 species
CGGGACCAGGCCUGCGCCCGGCCCGCGGGGAAAGCAAUGGAUCGCCGAGGGGCCGGUCGAGGCCCUGCCUCUCAGGAUUGGGGCGGACGCAACUGUGGACCGUGCUGUGGGAGAGCAGAGCCCAGGCUUCCAAGAAACGUUUUGAGUUAACUUUGAUUGGCCCCAACCAAUACUUUUUCCGGUGGACUUAAAAGAAGAAAACAAAAAGCAACUACAGAAAAAACACUAAACCAACGGUUUUUUAAAAGUGUGGGGCCAGCCGCUGCCAUCGCCACCUUGAGAAAUGCAGAUUUUUUCGAUUCCCGCACCACACCUAUUGAGUUCCGCUUUACAGCAACUUGAAGAAUGAUGCUAUCUAUAUUGGGGGCUAAGCAUUGAUCUUUGUUGCCAGACAUUUGGCAGUGGCAAUAGCUAGAUCAGCUUUGGUGAAAAUUCAUGCUAUUGUGACAAGUGCAGCCUCCAUUUUUUAUAUUGUGGCCAUUCCUUUCUUGUGUUCAUUUUGAAGAGGCCCAUGAAGGGGGUGCCUGACAUGAACUGGAUUGCUCACUUUGUCCACUUGAUUGAUUAGUGCCUCUUUCAGGGUGGAUGUUCUGUGGUGGGUGUUAAUAUGUGUGAUUUUCAUACUUUUCUUGUUUCACAUACCCAUGUACAUACCCUCUAUCCCAGAGAUUCCUGUCCCCAGUCUUUUUUAAAUAACAUUUUUUAUAUUGUAUUUCACUUAUUUUUAUGUGGUGCUAAGGAUCGAAUCCAGCGCCUUACACGUGCUAGGAAAGCACUCUGCCACUGAGCUAUAACCCCUGCACCCUGUCCCCAGUCUUCUUAACAUCUUUUUUUUUUCCAUUUAUGCCUCUGACCAGCUCCCUGAGCAUUCAUCACUGUAUGAUUCUGUACGAUUUUGUAUAUAGUCUAGCCCAAAGUGAAUGCAUGGUUUAUCACUAAAGACUGUCCAAUUGAGAUGGUUCUCCUGUGCUACCAUCUUUCAAUACCACCCAUAAGUAAGGUUUCAGUUCGGUUGCUACUCAUUUUUGGCUUUACUGAACAUUCCAUUUGUACAAUGAGUUUUGGCUUUUUUCCUCCUCAUCUACCUGACCAUACAGAAUCUCCUAUAACAUCUCAGCAUGUACUGGUGCGACAAUGGUCUAUUUAUGGAAUCCGGGCUACUCUUGCCUAUGUCCUCUGGUCUUUAAGAUUUGGGGAUCUUGGGCUGGGGAUGGAGCUCAGUUGGUAGAGCAUUUACCUAGCAACUGGGGGGAAAAUUGGUAGUCUGACAAUUAGUCUUCACAGCUAAUGAAGGCAAGGGUUGAGAAAGUUUCUUGGGAAUAAGAUAUUAACUGCAUUUUAUGUCGACAUAUUUUCAAGGAUGUUUAGAAAGCAGAUAACCUUGGAAGGUGGAGAUACUCUAAGAUACUCUUAGAAGGCAAAUUUGCUUACUCAUUAGUAAAGAUAAAGUCUCCUUCUAGAGCAGAGGAUGAGAGGUUUGAUUGUAGCUCAUUAUAAAAAAAUUCAACUUUUCUAAGCUCAGAUUCUUUAGCUGUGACAUGACUAUAAAAUGCAUUUUUAUGCUUUAAUCUAGAAGUAUAUAGUUGUGGGUUUUAUGCUUAGAACUAGUUUAAAGUUAAUUUUUAAGAUGAAGAUGAGAGAUCAUUGUAUUACAUAUGGAUAACCAGUUCUAGCACCCUGUGUUGCAGAGAAUGUACUUCCCUCAUUGAAUUGUUUUAGCAUACUUGAAAACAAUUCAUCAAAUAUUUAUGGGUGCAGAUGAAGCCUAUUUUUUCUGUUCAUUUACAUAUCUGCUGAGAGCCACAGCCUAGUCUGUAUGGCCCCUGGCAUUUUGCCAACAGUAUUGAUUGACAGGCGAGGAAUUACUAUCCGCCUCUGCCGCAACUUUUGAGUUCUAGCACUAUUUUGGAGUUCUCAUGGGGAUUUCUGGGGAUCCCCCGAGAGUUCCCAUUGGUUGGGGAAGUGCAGGAGGAGGGAUUUCUGGGAGAGAUAUUUCCGGCUGGGGGUUCCUGGACAAGCCUCGUGGCGUUCCGGAGGAUUCCCCGGGAGCUGUGUGAAGUGUUUUCCUGCAGUUUAAAAAUAAAGUUUGUUCCUGCUUGAGUGGCUCGUGAUUUUGU